GCUGCCAAAUUCCAUGAUUUUCUCUGCGAGCACUACAACAAGAAUGCCGCUAUAUCUGGCUGCAUGGCUAUCAAUCUUGUACAUGAUAAUGGUAGGAGAGUGCAGUGAUUCAUCUGUUGUUAUGAUCGAAUCCUCAUCGGUGGGCGAGAUAUACGCAGCAUGUAAUGUCGUCAAGUACUCCCACGGCACCCAAUUCGACGCCAACGUGAACGAGGUCUUAAAAACCCUAGCUGACAAAACGCCCAAGACAGGCUUCAGCUGUGUGACCGGAUCUGAAGAUCAAUUACUUGCAAAAUGUGAGUCAUUACCAAAACUCCAAAGCUUGCAGGGACGCCUCCAGUGCAGAGGAGAUCUUUCACCCCCAGACUGUCGUGCAUGUUCAGAGCAGGCUGUUGAAUCCAUUCGCCGUGACUGCCCAAACGCCAUUGGAGCCCGUGUUCAGUUGGAGUUUUGUUUCCUUCGUUAUGAGAAUUACAGUUUUCUGUCCAAGGUAGAUAGCAGCUACUGGUAUGGCCUUGUCAAUGUCAACAGUGAUAAUGAUGAACGUUUUAAUGAAGCUGCCCGUGGGCUUAUGGCCGAUCUGUCAACUAAGGCUCCUGUAAGUGACAUUAAGUUUGUUUUGGGGUCGACUGUUGUUUCUUCCAAUGUGACCAUCUAUGGAAUGCAGAUGUGCUGGAGAGAUGUUUCGGCUAAGGACUGUGCGACUUGUCUGUCCAAGGGUAUAGAACAGAUGUUCAGUUGUUGUAGUGGGAGAGUGGGCGUUCAAAUUUUCAUGGACAGCUGCAACCUGCGCUACGAAAUCUAUCCCAUUGCUAAGCACUAUUAGAAUGGUUCCUCCUCUUGCUCUGAUUCUGUGAAGUGAACAACCAAGAAGCAUGGAUGGUAAGAGGAAACCUAGAGGUAGCAAGAGGGACAAAGAAGGAGACUCUUUUUAAGCUGGAAGCCACUAUAAUUGUUAAAUAUUCUAAUUUAAUGAAAUCUGAAAAUACUUGUGUGUUGUGGCACCACAGAUUGGUCC